UUUAUGGGGUGACUGCGUACCUUUUGUAUAAUGGGUCAGCGACUUAUAUUUUGUAGCAAGGUUAACCGAAUAGGGGAGCCGUAGGGAAACCGAGUCUUAACUGGGCGUCAAGUUGCAAGGUAUAGACCCGAAACCCGGUGAUCUAGCCAUGGGCAGGUUGAAGGUUGGGUAACACUAACUGGAGGACCGAACCGACUAAUGUUGAAAAAUUAGCGGAUGACUUGUGGCUGGGGGUGAAAGGCCAAUCAAACCGGGAGAUAGCUGGUUCUCCCCGAAAGCUAUUUAGGUAGCGCCUCGUGAACUCAUCUUCGGGGGUAGAGCACUGUUUCGACUAGGGGGUCAUCCCGACUUACCAACUCGAUGCAAACUACGAAUACCGAAGAAUGUUAUCACGGGAGACACACGGCGGGUGCUAACGUCCGUCGUGAAGAGGGAAACAACCCAGACCGCCAGCUAAGGUCCCAAAGUCAUAGUUAAGUGGGAAACGAUGUGGGAAGGCAUAGACAGCCAGGAUGUUGGCUUAGAAGCAGCCAUCAUUUAAAGAAAGCGUAAUAGCUCACUGGUCGAGUCGGCCUGCGCGGAAGAUGUAACGGGGCUAAACUAUGCACCGAAGCUGCGGCAGCGACACUUAGGUGUUGUUGGGUAGGGGAGCGUUCUGUAAGCCUGUGAAGGUGACCUGUGAGGGUUGCUGGAGGUAUCAGAAGUGCGAAUGCUGACAUAAGUAACGAUAAAGCGGGUGAAAAACCCGCUCGCCGGAAGACCAAGGGUUCCUGUCCAACGUUAAUCGGGGCAGGGUGAGUCGACCCCUAAGGCGAGGCCGAAAGGCGUAGUCGAUGGGAAACAGGUUAAUAUUCCUGUACUCGGUGUUACUGCGAAGGGGGGACGGAGAAGGCUAGGCUAUCCGGGCGACGGUUGUCCCGGUUUAAGCGUGUAGGGGGUGUGACUUGGUAAAUCCGGU
rnacentral:rRNA from 1 species